UACGGGGGGGGCAAGCGUUGUUCGGAAUUACUGGGCGUAAAGGGUUUGUAGGUGGCUUGCUAAGUCAGACGUGAAAUCCCUCAGCUUAACUGGGGAACUGCGUCUGAGACUGGCGAGCUUGAGUGCAGGAGAGGAACGCGGAAUUCCAGGUGUAGCGGUGAAAUGCGUAGAUAUCUGGAGGAACACCGGUGGCGAAGGCGGCGUUCUGGACUGCAACUGACACUGAGAAACGAAAGCCAGGGGAGCAAACAGG
rnacentral:rRNA from 1 species